GGGGAUGUAGCUCAGUUGGAAGAGCACCUGCUUUGCAAGCAGGGGGUCGUGGGUUCAAGUCCCAUCAUCUCCACAA
rnacentral:tRNA from 1 species